GACAGAGGUGGCAAGCGUUGUUCGGAUUUACUGGGCGUAAAGAGUGCGUAGGUGGUGAGGUAAGACCUGUGGGAAAGACCUGGGCUUAACCCAGGAAGGUCGCAAGUGACUGCCUCGCUUGAGGACGGGAGAGGAGAGCGGAAUUCCCGGUGUAGCGGUGAAAUGCGUAGAGAUCGGGAAGAAGGCCGGUGGCGAAGGCGGCUCUCUGGAACGUUCCUGACACUGAGGCACGAAAGCGUGGGGAGCAAAC
rnacentral:rRNA from 1 species